UCGUGCGGCAUCGUGAAGGAUUUUCUUCGACGGCGAGCGGCGGACGGGUGAGUAAUAUCUGGGGAUCUGCCUAAAAGAGGGGGACAACUACUGGAAACGGUAGCUAAUACCGCAUGAUAUCAACUGAUUAAAGCAGGGGACUAAAAUUAAAAUAUUUAUAUUUUAAUAAAGCCUUGCGCUUUUAGAUGAACCCAGACGAGAUUAGCUAGUAGGUGAGGUAAAGGCUCACCUAGGCGACGAUCUCUAGCUGGUCUGAGAGGACGGCCAGCCACACUGGAACGUAGACACGGUCCAGACUCCUACGGGAGGCAGCAGUGGGGAAUAUUGCACAAUGGGGGAAACCCUGAUGCAGCUAUGCCGCGUGUGUGAAGAAGGUCUUCGGAUCGUAAAGCACUUUCAGCAAGGAAGAAAGCAAAUAUGCUAAUAUCAUAUUUGUGCGACGUUACUUGCAGAAGAAGCACCGGCUAACUCCGUGCCAGCAGCCGCGGUAAUACGGAGGGUGCGAGCGUUAAUCGGAAUUACUGGGCGUAAAGCGUACGCAGGCGGUUUAUUAAGUCAGAUGUGAAAUCCCUGGGCUUAACCUAGGAACUGCAUUUGAAACUAAUACACUAGAGUAUCGUAGAGGGAGGUAGAAUUCCAGGUGUAGCGGUGAAAUGCGUAGAUAUCUGGAGGAAUACCAGUGGCGAAGCGACCUCCUGGACGAUAACUGACGCUCAGGUACGAAAGCGUGGGGAGCAAACAGGAUUAGAUACCCUGGUAGUCCAUGCCGUAAACGAUGUCGAUUUGAAGGUCGUAGAUUUAUCUGUGAUUUUCGGAGCUAACGUGUUAAAUCGACCGCCUGGGGAGUACAACCGCAAGGUUAAAACUCAAAUGAAUUGACGGGGGCCGCACAAGCGGUGGAGCAUGUGGUUUAAUUCGAUGCAACGCGAAAAACCUUACCUACUCUUGACAUUUAGAGAAUUUAGCAGAGAUGCUUCAGUGCUUCGGGAACUCUAAAACAGGUGCUGCAUGGCUGUCGUCAGCUCGUGUUGUAAAUGUUGGGUUAAGUCCCGCAACGAGCGCAACCCUUAUCCUUUUUUGCCAGCGAAUAAAGUCGGGAACUCAAAGGAGACUGCCGGUGACAAACCGGAGGAAGGUGGGGACGACGUCAAGUCAUCAUGGCCCUUACGAGUAGGGCUACAG
rnacentral:rRNA from 1 species